rnacentral:rRNA from 1 species
CCAUGCGGGUGCUAUACAUGCAGUCGAGCGGACAGAAGGGAGCUUGCUCCCGGAUGUUAGCGGCGGACGGGUGAGUAACACGUGGGUAACCUGCCUGUAAGACUGGGAUAACUCCGGGAAACCGGAGCUAAUACCGGAUAGUUCCUUGAACCGCAUGGUUCAAGGAUGAAAGACGGUUUCGGCUGUCACUUACAGAUGGACCCGCGGCGCAUUAGCUAGUUGGUGAGGUAACGGCUCACCAAGGCGACGAUGCGUAGCCGACCUGAGAGGGUGAUCGGCCACACUGGGACUGAGACACGGCCCAGACUCCUACGGGAGGCAGCAGUAGGGAAUCUUCCGCAAUGGACGAAAGUCUGACGGAGCAACGCCGCGUGAGUGAUGAAGGUUUUCGGAUCGUAAAGCUCUGUUGUUAGGGAAGAACAAGUGCAAGAGUAACUGCUUGCACCUUGACGGUACCUAACCAGAAAGCCACGGCUAACUACGUGCCAGCAGCCGCGGUAAUACGUAGGUGGCAAGCGUUGUCCGGAAUUAUUGGGCGUAAAGGGCUCGCAGGCGGUUUCUUAAGUCUGAUGUGAAAGCCCCCGGCUCAACCGGGGAGGGUCAUUGGAAACUGGGAAACUUGAGUGCAGAAGAGGAGAGUGGAAUUCCACGUGUAGCGGUGAAAUGCGUAGAGAUGUGGAGGAACACCAGUGGCGAAGGCGACUCUCUGGUCUGUAACUGACGCUGAGGAGCGAAAGCGUGGGGAGCGAACAGGAUUAGAUACCCUGGUAGUCCACGCCGUAAACGAUGAGUGCUAAGUGUUAGGGGUUUCCGCCCCUUAGUGCUGCAGCUAACGCAUUAAGCACUCCGCCUGGGGAGUACGGUCGCA